rnacentral:ncRNA from 1 species
UAUCUUCAGGGGGAGGUGCAAGUCCUCACCGGCGGUAUAGCCCGCGAGCCAUUUUGGUUGACUUGGUUAGAUUCCAAGGCCGACAGUUACAGUCUGGAUGAAAGAAGAUG